AACACUCAAGAUGUCCUAAUUCAAAUUCAAAAUUAAGACCUGCGCAGACCAGAGACUUGUGUGCGGUGGACCGAAAUGCGCAGUUUUCUUUUGCCAAAAUAGAUCAUUUGCAGGACAUGCACACGGGAAAAUAUCAGAACACUACUGUGUCGAUUCUAUCUAAUGCCGAAUCAGCCCAAUCCAGAUUCUGCCAAAAUCAGAUCAGGAACCUGUAUACUGAUGGACGAAGUCCUUGAUCAAUUAUUCCACAUUUCGGCGGUCCUGUCCUGAUUCACAAAGUCUCUCAUCUGCACAGAACGAAUCCAAUUCCAUAAUCAAUAACGUUAUUUAAUUAAAAUCUCGUCACAACUUUUUAAAAACCUGACCGAUUGGACGAAGGCGAUGAAGCCGAGCAGCCAAGCGAGGGACGUCAUUAGAGGAGGCGGUGCGGUGGCAGGCGCAGCGACAGUGGCAGCAACAGGAGAACAAUCUACA